UACGUAGGGUGCGAGCGUUAAUCGGAAUUACUGGGCGUAAAGCGCGCGUAGGCGGUCUCUUAAGUCCGGGGUGAAAGGUUCAGCGCUCAACGCGAACAGUGCCCUGGAGACUGGGGGACUUGAGUGUGGGAGGGGGCAGUGGAAUUCCUGGUGUAGCGGUGAAAUGCGUAGAUAUCAGGAGGAACACCGAUGGCGAAGGCAGCUGCCUGGCCUAACACUGACGCUGAGGUGCGAAAGCGUGGGGAGCGAACGGG
rnacentral:rRNA from 1 species